GCCUCGGUGGUGUAGUCCGGCCUAUCAUUUGGGACUGUCACUCCCAAGACCCGGGUUCAAAUCCCGGCCGAGGCGCCA
rnacentral:tRNA from 1 species